rnacentral:rRNA from 1 species
AUGGCCACCAGGUGGACAAAGGCACGGAAACGUUGGUCUCCAGAUAUUGCGAAAAAUUGUUACCCUAUGUACCACCAGCAGUUUGAGAUACUUGAUGAGGCAGAAGUCACAUGGAACCCGUGGACUCAGGACCAGCUAAAAUUGGUCUUUGAUGCUCGACACUUCACACCAGGCAUGUUGACCGAUAGUGCAUUCUGGCUGACUCACAGCAACUUAUUGUUCCUGUGGUGUGUUGAACCUUACAACCCAGAGUGUGUAAUGAGACAGUUCGGUCUCUAUCAAGAAAUUCCACCACCUUUUCCCAGACGUAUCGAUGAGGAAACACAUAAGCUAACCAAUAUGGGCAGGGGUUGGAGUUUAUACGAUUGGAGGGAAGAGAACAGUGAAUGGGUACACAAGUGGACAAAUGAAGCGCUAGCAGAUAUAGUGCGUGAACUUAGGCCGUACGAUGGAAGUACAGAUCAAGCGUACAAGCAGUGGUACUGCAUGAACACACGUGCUAGCCUGACCAGUCAGCCAGCUACUAUACCAACACAUCUCACACAAGAGGAGCAGGCGCGGAGACAUGUUGAGCUGCAUGCAGCUUACUAUCGUGACCACCUGCUUGAAAAUGUCAACGAAGUAGGGCAGAUGGCUACGGAUAGCAUGCCGGCCCAGGGCCCAUAUCGCAAGACAUUCCAGAAACUUUUGCAACAAUUCGUGGCAAAAAAGUUCAGAUGCGGUAGAGGCGACGACGUUGCCACUGGAGCAUACAUGCCGGUAGCGAGGUCAGCCAGACCGAGUGCGGCACCGUCGUCCAGACCGAGCGAGGCGCGUACGAGCCAUGAGCAAUGGGGGGAGGGUCCGAGUACUAGAACGACAUUGCCACGACAUGACUCAUCUCUGCCACUGCAUCGCUCUUCUUCGAUGCAGCUUCGUCAGGGGCAAACAUCUCAGGACCAUGGCACGGGCUUGGAUUCGAUGCCCGAGCAGUUUCUUUCCCCUAACCCAUAUGCGUACACAGGAUAUGAUGCAUACACCCAAGGUGAGGGAUCUCAGCCGUUUCUCUCCACGCGAGGGAUCCCCAUGCCCGAGGAGACUCGUGUACCAGAUUUAAACCAGCACCAAGUACAAUGGCCAGACAUUAUAGGAGAGGGAUAUGCUCAGGACACACCUGAUGUUAAUUGGGGCGAUGAGAACACCCAACGCGGCGUCAACACAGGCCUUCGGGGAGCAUCACAUGAUCAUGGCGUCAACACAGGCCUCUGGGGAGCAUCACAUGAUCUUGGCGACACGGUUACAUCAUUAGUUACAGAGUUCUUCGGAGGGGAUGUUAUUGGCCCAUCUUUUAUCCCCCCGGAGUCACAACCAUACGCCUACAAUUACGCUUCAGGUUCGCAACAAGGAUUCGCGACUCCACCACCUACGCAGGACUCGCAGACACAUGAAGCCGAAGUGGAGUACGGCCGCGGUCUUCGUGUGACCCGGCCACCUAAUCGCUUGUCGCCUUCCGGUCGUAAGGAAAGGCCAGGUGGUCGUCGUUAA